AGAUGCUACGGAGAUGCUUCAGCCUUGGACACCAUGCUCUAAAGCUCUCCGUUACUGGAAAAAAGGAUUUCCACUCAAUUAAAUCAUGAAGCAGAAGAUUAUGCAGUUUGAGUCUCAAGAUAUAAAAGGUUUGAAGAGAUUGCAUAUAGGUAAGAACUAAUUGAAAAAUAAGAAGAAAGGCUGUGCUAUGAUACACGUUGAUACAGUGGCAGUCAGGUUAUUUAUUUUCCUUUGUUCCUUUGUGUGUUUGCCCUGAAUGGUACAACUUAUUUUCAAUAGAAAUAAAUCAUGCAUCCUCAAAUUGGAUGUGGCCAACUGGAUGUAGAUGGUUUUGGUCCAUGAGUAGCACAC
rnacentral:lncRNA from 1 species